UCAUAGAAAAGAACCUAUUUU
rnacentral:piRNA from 1 species